GAGAGAGAGAGAGAGAGAGAGAGAGAGAGAGAGAGAGAGCAUAGCUUAAAAUUGAAUUUAAAUAAAAGAAAGGAACAUGUAUCAGAAGAUAACUUGGUUUGAUUUUUGUCUCCCAUGGGCAGAAUAGAAUGUUCCUAACUGCUGGUGUUGAGCUUAGUUUUUCCUUUGACAGAAACUAACAGGGUCCUACAUUUUAAUUACAUGGAAAUGAAACCAUCUUUAUGAUAAUGACAUGGGAAAUGCUCCCAUCAUUAACCUUAACUGAGAUCUCAUUUGCAAAUCCAACUUAAUUAGGAACUGAUUUCCCCGGGCCCAGUGGACUCCAUCCAUCCACAAAACUCAGUUCUUUUCCUCAGAUGGAAACAAUUUCUUUCUGACCCACAGAACUUAAUAGAAAUCUGCAGACUUUGAAAAAUAUCUAAACCUGGUGAUUUUAAACUCUGUUCUCCCUCACCUUACCCUUUUGCAGUAUGAUAAGCCAUCAGCCUCCGGUACCUACUGCCUGUAACAUGAUCCUCCCAUGCUCUCCAGACCCGCCCUACCGAGUUUACUGCCUUAGUCUCCAGCACUGGGCCUGGCCUGGACCACUGAGGGACUCCAGUCAGAAGAUCCUUGGACCAGAAUCACAGUUUCACCCUACAAAUGAAACAGAGCAGGGCAGAGCUGGGUGAUGGUUUGGAUUCAGGUGCCAGUUCACCAGACUGUAGGUAACUCUGGCCAUGACUGUGCCCUUGGACAGGCGCUCAGAAAAUCUGAAAUAUUCCUACAUGGAACAGCGGUUUUACCUAUGAUGAAUCUCAUUUUGACAAAGAGACAGGGGCAACUCAACAGAAAAAUGAUGAUGCUUUCAACAAGUGGUCUUGGAAUGAUUGGACACCCACCAGCCAAACACCAUCAACAAAACAAUGUUCCUCAACUCAACCCUCACCCUAUGCAGAAGUCAUGGAAACUGGUCAUAAAUCUCUACUGACACCGACACUGUAAAGUUCUAAAAUUUUAGACAAAAAUAUUGGAGACAAUCUUCUUGACUGGGGGAGACAAGGGUUUCCUCAACCUGACAUUAAAAGCUGGUUUAUGAAGAAAAUCGUUUAAUCGGACCCCAUCAGAGCUCAGCACUGCACGAAACACUGUUAGGAGUGUGAACAGACAAGCUAUAGGUCUGGAGAAAAUAUUCACAUUUUUGUGGAGUCCAAAAGUACAGUAGUGGUCCUGGAGGCCAGAGAGAGAAAGGGGUGAGGGGUCAGGGCUUAACUAGGACAGAUUCUGAUAAAAACAAAGGGUUGGGACUAGAUGGUGACGGAUGCACAGUUGCUACUGGACUGUAUCCUCAGAAAAGAUUAGAAUGUGACCCUGUGCCCUGUGUAUUUUAAGAACUCAGAUACAGACUUAGGCUGGCCAUGUAGCCUCUUGCCCUAGCCCAGGAUGUUGUUACUUUGGCAACUGGGGUGGCCUCUUAGCUUUUGCUAUAGUCACCACAAAGCUAGGUCUAGAGUUUGACUGUCAUCGAAGAAUUGCCACCCUUUGUGUCUAUUCCCAACUGCACGUCAGACCCAUGCUGCACUUGAGGAAGCCAAGGCUUGGUUCACCCAGCAGCCUGCCAAGGGCUUCUAGGGUUCUGCGUCAGGUCCUGGUGAGUGUCCUCCUGUCGGGUUCCGUAACUACUCUUCCUGCACACUGUGGUAGGAGGAGGAUUUUGCUAUUGCCUUCCUUCAUCCUCUCUCCAGCUGUGGAGUGCCACCAUGAGAGGCCAACCGUUAGCACUCUGGGCCCACACGGGAGUGUCUUUUUGUCCUAUGAAAUAGUAAAAACUAGAUGAAGGCACAAGGUGCUCUGGGAGACUAGGAAGGGCAAUUCAUCAUGGCACCAUGUUGCCGCUGAAAGGUGCUACCUGGGUCAGGAGGCAGUGGCGUGUGUGGAAGGGAGGCCAUCCCAGCUAAGCAAGAAUGAUGUCUUAGGGGCACUCCAUGCUGGAAGCCAAGGCCCAGGCUGCCUUCCCACGAAGGUUCUGGUGGGAAAACUCACAGAACAGUGUGAUUGUCCCCUGCAUGCUGUGAAGUCAUAACCCAUGUUAAUGGCCUUAUUGUGUUUUCUAAACUAACACAGCAAAAUGGGCUUGCCUUGUAUAAAGUUCUAUAUGUUUUAACAGACGUAUAAGCUUGUGUAGCUACUACAAUAAAUAUAGAUCAACCUAAGACCCUUCCUUCCUUGUGCUCUCAAAACUCCCCUUUCUCUCAUCUCCUAACUCCAGCCAUGCCUGUUCUAGUCUCCCUCACCUUAGGUAAGCUUCUCAAGAAUGUCAUAUAAAAAGAUGAUACAUGGGGCUGGAGAGAUGGCUCAGAGGUUAAGCGCAUUGGCUGUUCUUCCAGAGGACCUGAGUUCAAUUCCCAGCAACAACAUAGUGACUCACAACCAUCUGUAAUAAGAUCUGGCAUCUUCUUCUGGCCUGUGGGCAUACAGACAGAUACUAUAUACUAAAUAAAUAAAUCUAAAAAGUGUUUUAAAAAAGAUGAUACAUGUAAAAUCUUUCUGAAUGGCUUCUGCCAUUCAUCAUGACUUAGAGAUGGUGUUGAUUCUUUUGAUGAAGAUUUGAGUUGCUUAUCAUUUGCAGGGAUUAAAAAGGUCUACAAACCUUCAUGUUCAGGCUUUGAGUGAAUAUAAGUUCUUCACUUAAGAUCUAAAUUAUUUUCCUUCAAAUGGUUAGUGACCAAUACAAUCAUUUAAAAAUCGUCUUCAAAAAUACAGCGCUUCUCUCUCAUCCUUCAAAGCAUAGAAUGGGAUUGGGGGGCCAUCCAGUCAGCACGCAGUGGGUGCUGUAAGCAACUUCUGAGUUGUUUUUCCCAGUGACUGUGCUGUCUUGUAUUCCCAGGGUAGUACAUGGAGCUCCCAUUGCUCCCUGUGCUAGCCAACACUUGGUAUUGGCAUUUAUUCUUAGCUAUCUGAAUGGGUGGGGUAGUAGCAUCUCAUGGCUCCUGUUUGCAUGUUCUCGGUGGCUGUUGGUAUUGAGCAGCUGUUACUCUUGUGCAAAUUUGUUUUCCACACAUUUUUGGUAAAAUGUUUGUUGAAGUGUUUGGUCCAGUUUUUAACCACGUUAUUUUCUUACUUCUGAGUUUUGUGUUUCUGAAAAAAAAACUUAGUUUGUGUUUAAUUCUUUUUUUCUCAUAUAUUAUUUGUGAGUAAUUUUUUCUCCCAGUCUGUCAUUUGUCUGUUCAUGCCCCUAAGAGUGUUUUAUGUAAACAUUGUUGAGCUCUGAUGGGGUCUGAUUUAACUAUUUUCUUGAUGAACCAGCCUUUGGUGUCAUGUCUAGGAAACCCUGCUUGAUUACUAUAGCUGUGUAAUAAAAUGUGAAAAUAAAACCAUG